rnacentral:rRNA from 1 species
CUUCGCGAAUUAGAGACCGGCGCACGGGUGCGUAACGCGUAUGCAAUCUACCUUUUACAGAGGGAUAGCCCAGAGAAAUUUGGAUUAAUACCUCAUAGCAUAGCAACUUCGCAUGAAGUCACUAUUAAAGUCACAACGGUAAAAGAUGAGCAUGCGUCCCAUUAGCUAGUUGGUAAGGUAACGGCUUACCAAGGCUACGAUGGGUAGGGGUCCUGAGAGGGAGAUCCCCCACACUGGUACUGAGACACGGACCAGACUCCUACGGGAGGCAGCAGUGAGGAAUAUUGGACAAUGGGCGCAAGCCUGAUCCAGCCAUGCCGCGUGCAGGAUGACGGUCCUAUGGAUUGUAAACUGCUUUUAUACGAGAAGAAACACUGCUUCGUGAAGCAGCUUGACGGUAUCGUAAGAAUAAGGAUCGGCUAACUCCGUGCCAGCAGCCGCGGUAAUACGGAGGAUCCAAGCGUUAUCCGGAAUCAUUGGGUUUAAAGGGUCCGUACGCGGUUUAAUAAGUCAGUGGUGAAAGCCCAUCGCUCAACGGUGGAACGGCCAUUGAUACUGUUAAACUUGAAUUAUUAGGAAGUAACUAGAAUAUGUAGUGUAGCGGUGAAAUGCUUAGAGAUUACAUGGAAUACCAAUUGCCAACGCAGGUUACUACUAAUGGAUUGA